rnacentral:piRNA from 1 species
UUACUGCAUGAUUUUUUCACUUGGAAAGAGC